rnacentral:rRNA from 1 species
UACGCAGGGGGCAAGCGUUGUCCGGAAUCAUUGGGCGUAAAGAGCGUGUAGGCGGCCAGAUAAGUCCGCUGUGAAAUCUCGAGGCUCAACUUCGAGCUGUCGGUGGAAACUGUCUGGCUAGAGUCCGGAAGAGGAGAAUGGAAUUCCCGGUGUAGCGGUGAAAUGCGCAGAUAUCGGGAAGAACACCCGUGGCGAAGGCGGCUCUCUGGGACGGUACUGACGCUGAGACGCGAAAGCGUGGGGAGCGAACAGG